CGCGAAUAGCUCAUUACAACAGCUAAAAUCUACUGGAAAUAGACACAAUCCUACUUGGAUAACUGUGGUAAUUCUAGAGCUAAUACAUGCACUAAAGCUCUGACCUUCAUCGGGAAGAGUGCAUUUAUUAGAGCAAAACCAAGCGGCUUCGGCUGUUUUCGGUUGACUCAUAGUAACUGAGCUGAUCGCAUGGUCUUGCACCGGCGAUGUGUCUUUCGAGUAUCUGCCGUAUCAACCUUCGACGGUAGUGUAUCUGACUACCGUGGUGAUCACGCGUAACGGAGAAUAAGGGUUCGACUCCGGAGAGUUCGCCUGAGAAAUCGCGAACACAUCUAAGGAAGGCAGCAGGCGCGAAAAUUACCCAUUCUCAGCACGAGGAGGUAGUGACGAAAAAUAACGAGACCGUUCUCUUAUGAGGCCGGUCAUCGGAAUGGGUACAAUUUAAACCCUUUAACGAGUAUCUAUGAGAGGGCAAGUCUGGUGCCAGCAGCCGCGGUAAUUCCAGCU
rnacentral:rRNA from 1 species